AUUGAACGCUGGCGGCAGGCCUAACACAUGCAAGUCGAGCGAGCGGCGGACGGGUGAGUAAUGUGUGGGAAACUGCCUGAUGGAGGGGGAUAAAUACUGGAAACGGUAGCUAAUACCGCAUACCAUCAGAGGUGCCCAGAUGGGAUUAGCUAGUAGGUGGGGUAAUGGCUCCACUAGGCGACGAUUCCUAGCUGGGAGGAGAGGAUGACCAGCCACACUGGAACUGAGACACGGUCCAGACUCCUACGGGAGGCAGCAGUGGGGAAUAUUGCACAAUGGGCGCAAGCCUGAUGCAGCCAUGCCGCGUGUAUGAAGAAGGCCUUCGGGUUGUAAAGUACUUUCAGCGGGGAGGCGUUACUCGCAGAAGAAGCACCGGCUAACUCCGUGCCAGCAGCCGCGGUAAUUC
rnacentral:rRNA from 1 species